rnacentral:rRNA from 1 species
AUUGAACGCUGGCGGCAUGCUUUACACAUGCAAGUCGAACGGUAACAGGCCUUCGGGUGCUGACGAGUGGCGAACGGGUGAGUAAUGCAUCGGAACGUGCCCAGAGGUGGGGGAUAACGCAGCGAAAGCUGUGCUAAUACCGCAUGUGAUCUGAGGAUGAAAGCGGGGGACCAGGCAGCAAUGUUUGGCCUCGCGCCUUUGGAGCGGCCGAUGUCGGAUUAGGUAGUUGGUGGGGUAAAGGCCUACCAAGCCGACGAUCUGUAGCUGGUCUGAGAGGACGACCAGCCACACUGGGACUGAGACACGGCCCAGACUCCUACGGGAGGCAGCAGUGGGGAAUUUUGGACAAUGGGCGAAAGCCUGAUCCAGCAAUGCCGCGUGCGGGAAGAAGGCCUUCGGGUUGUAAACCGCUUUUGUACGGAACGAAAAGGCUCUGGCUAAUACCUGGGGCUGAUGACGGUACCGUAAGAAUAAGCACCGGCUAACUACGUG